ACCACGCCACGUUAGAAGAAAAAAAACUCCCAGCUUAAAUCCCUCUCCAAACAGCCAAAACCUCUCACGCCAGAAAACAGAAAAACCCCAAAGCUCUCACACCAUUCCUCUGAUCGCCGGAGCAGAACGAAGAAAGAAAACCAGCUCUCACGCCAUUCCUCUGCUUCCUUCACGCCUCCACCACCGCCACUAAACAGUACAGCUCGCUUAAACCCCAAAUCAGAACCAGAACGAGUUAGGCAAAAAUUUCUGGUUUCCUCUGCUUCCUCCCUCUUCCACCCUCUACUUCCUCUUGCCCAAAUCUCCACCACACCACACACCGAAGCAUACCGCCACACAAGUCACCGGAUUCGUUGCUAGAGCUUGUAAACAUGCCGGAGCCACCGUGAGCAUGGUGUUGCGAUGCAAAGAUUUGUUUAGUUUCGGUGUGUUUGAUUUGAGGAAAAUCUUCUAUGUGUCCGGAAAAUUUGAAUGGUACUGCAAAAACUUCAGUUGAAGGUUUAUUUGCUGCUGGAGAUGUACAGGUGCCUUUCCAACAGGUUUACUUACAGUGGUUAUUGAAUUCUCCGUUGUCAACUUUAGCCUCUGGGACACAGUUGGAUCCAUUACAACAAUUCCAAGAAAGUUGACGUACAAACAAGUUUUGUGUCCAAGAGAAUGGAUUGGGAAGCAAAUAUUUUUUGGUUAUAUAAUGUUUAAAUUGUGGUAGAUAGAUAUAGAACCAUCUUCUUUUUUGUAUUUCCAACGUAGGGUCAUCUUUAUUGUAUAUUGAUCUAU